GCGGAGGAAAAGAAACCAACAGGGAUUGCCCUAGUAACGGCGAGUGAAGCGGCAACAGCUCAAAUUUGAAAUCUGGCCCUAGCGGUCCGAGUUGUAAUUUGUAGAGGAUGCUUUUGGUUAGGUGCCUUCUGAGUUCCCUGGAACGGGACGCCAGAGAGGGUGAGAGCCCCGUACGGUUGGACACCGAGCCUCUAUAUAGCUCCUUCGACGAGUCGAGUAGUUUGGGAAUGCUGCUCUAAAUGGGAGGUAAAUUUCUUCUAAAGCUAAAUACCGGCCAGAGACCGAUAGCGCACAAGUAGAGUGAUCGAAAGAUGAAAAGUACUUUGAAAAGAGGGUUAAAUAGCACGUGAAAUUGUUGAAAGGGAAGCGUUUGCGACCAGACUUUUUCCAGGCGGAUCAUCCGGUGUUCUCACCGGUGCACUUCGCCUGGUUUAGGCCAGCAUCGGUUCUCUUAGGGGGAUAAAGGCCUGGGGAACGUAGCUCCUUCGGGAGUGUUAUAGCCCCUAGCGUAAUACCCUUCGGGGGACCGAGAACGC
rnacentral:rRNA from 1 species